rnacentral:lncRNA from 1 species
GAUGCAAGAACAUCUGGCUAGGAAAAUGCAGACAAGCCCCAGAGGAAGGAAUUGUUACUCGGGGUAAUCAAGUAACCCAUAACCUGUAUUUUCUCUUCCUUUUGGCAUCACUCAAAUUGAUCCAAUUUUAGAAAUGGAUGAGGUCACAAAGUGGGCACCCAGCCAAAGAGUGGUCAGGACUGGGCAUGGGCCCAUGCAGGUGUGGACAGGUUUGCUGUGCUGUAUGACAUGUGGACUCAGGAAGCAGCUUUUCUGGAAAACAAAUGCCAGAGUUUUGACAGUUACUUUGAAGCCUACCAGCACAUGUUGGACGCUGAAGAGAGGUUCGCCUUAGCACAAGUGAUGAUGGAUAUCACGCACCGGUGCCCGAGCCCGGCUUUGAAAAAUGUUUACCUGCUGGAGUUCCACCCUUCCCUCAGCCUGGCAGCGCUUAUCCCCAGAGCCCUAGAGUAUCUCCUUCAAGAGGUCUGCCAUACCUGCAAACCUGCAUUAGCGGUUGCCUUGCCUCCCUGGAGUGACAUGUCCUGCAGCUGGGCCUGGACCUGUGGCUCACCCCAGCCAAGCCUGAGGCCUGGUACAGUACACAGCUCCAGAAAGAUCUGUUUUCAGCUAAAGUUAUGA